rfam:Beta vulgaris subsp. vulgaris Bvchr2.sca006.con0046.1, whole genome shotgun sequence.
AGAGCUCACAAUGCAGCCAAGGAUGACUUGCCGGAUUAUAUAUGGCGGAGUAUUAACAUAAUCAUAUUCAUAUAUAUAUGUCAUAUGUUUAUCGGCAAGUUGUCCUUGGCUACAUUGGGUUCUCU